AUUGAACGCUGGCGGAAUGCUUUACACAUGCAAGUCGAACGGCAGCACGGGGGCAACCCUGGUGGCGAGUGGCGAACGGGUGAGUAAUACAUCGGAACGUGCCCGGUCGUGGGGGAUUACGUAGCGAAAGUUACGCUAAUACCGCAUACGAUCUGAGGAUGAAAGCGGGGGACCUUCGGGCCUCGCGCGAUCGGAGCGGCCGAUGUCAGAUUAGGUAGUUGGUGGGGUAAAGGCCUACCAAGCCGACGAUCUGUAGCUGGUCUGAGAGGACGACCAGCCACACUGGGACUGAGACACGGCCCAGACUCCUACGGGAGGCAGCAGUGGGGAAUUUUGGACAAUGGGCGCAAGCCUGAUCCAGCCAUUCCGCGUGCAGGACGAAGGCCUUCGGGUUGUAAACUGCUUUUGUAUGGAACGAAAAGGCUCUGGCUAAUACCUGGGGCUCAUGACGGUACCGUAAGAAUAAGCACCGGCUAACUACGUG
rnacentral:rRNA from 1 species